rnacentral:rRNA from 1 species
AAGGCGAGGACGAAAGGCGUAGUAGAUAGGAAACAGCUUAAUAUUCCUGUACUUGGUGUUACUGCGAAGAGGGGACGGAGAAUGCUAUGUUGGCCAGGGGACGGUUGUCCCGGUUUAAGCGUGUAGGCUGGUUUUCCAGGCAAAUCCGGAAAAUCAAGGCUGAGUCGUGAUGACGAGGCACUACGGUGCUGAAGCAACAAAUGCCCUGCUUCCAGGAAAGACCUCUAAGCAUCAGGUUACAUCAAAUCGUACCCCACACCGACACAGGUGGCCAGGUAGAGUAUACCAAGGCGCUUGAGAUAACUCUGUUGAAGGAACUAGGCAAAAUGGUUCCGUCACUUCGGGAGAAGGCACGCUGUUAUGUAGGUGUAGUCCCUCGCGGAUGGAGCUGCAAUCAGUCGAAGAUACCAGCUGGCUGCACCUGUUUAUUAAAA